rnacentral:rRNA from 1 species
GACGAACCGUGCGAACGUUGUUCGGAAUCACUGGGCUUAAAGGGCGCGUAGGCGGGUGACCAAGUCAGAGGUGAAAUCCUGCGGCUCAACCGUAGAAGAGCCCCUGAUACUGGUCGUCUUGAGGGAGGUAGGGGCAUGUGGAACUUCCGGUGGAGCGGUGAAAUGCGUAGAUAUCGGAAGGAACGCCGGUGGCGAAAGCGACGUGCUGGACCUCUUCUGACGCUGAGGCGCGAAAGCUAGGGGAGCGAAUGGG